rnacentral:lncRNA from 1 species
UAUAAAAUUAAAAUAGGCUUAUUUAGUUAUUUACAUAUGCAGGUUCGCUUGGGGAAAAUGAACACUUUUAGUUAUGUGGACCAAAAGAUCCACAUGGCUAAUAGACGUUAUCCACUUUCAAACACUACCAACCAAUCGAGACCACCCAAAAUUUGAUUCUACUUUUAUAUCAGCCACACUGCUGAAUGACCGUCACACCGUCGAAUGAUCACCGCAUACACCGCCGCACCAUGAACAGUCACACCACCACACCACAAACCAAAACCAAAAUGGAGAAGAAGUGGAAACAAAUAUGGAGAAGGAGAGAAAGUGAGAGUUGGGAGAUGGGAAGAAACGGAUCUAGAAGUGAGAGUUAAGGGGUGGAAAACAAACAAUCUGAAAACUAAAACAGAGGGUGAGAGUUGAGAGAGUUGGGAAGGAGGAUUGCGUGAAAGAGUAAAAAUGAGGUAGGGAUUUAAGGUUUCAGAAAAAGGUAAAUAAAUAAGAUUAAUUAAAUAAAAUAAAAAGGGUAAUUUGAUAAUUAAAAAAAAAUUGGAAACAUUUAAAGAGGUACAUGGAGUAUUUGGUGGUGGUGAAGGAAGCAGCACACUUCACUGUUUAGUCUUUGUUUGGGCCUCCAAGAGAUAUUGCACUAAGAGGAAAAUUGAACUGGUUCAUACAGGGUGUUGCUCCCUACACCUCCCCAAGUGGGACCUGUACCUCCCCAUUAAUUUAAUUUAUUUCAAAAAUAUUCUACACCUCCCCACUAAUUUUCUUUAUUCCAAAAAUACCAUACACCUCUCCACUAUCCUUAACAAUCUUUCUCUUUCUCUUUCUCUCUCUACAUUAAUGGAGCAUUUACAUGGCUCAUUAAUGGAGCAUUUAC